rnacentral:rRNA from 1 species
CCUACGGGAGGCAGCAGUGGGGGAUAUUGCACAAUGGGGGAAACCCUGAUGCAGCGAUGCCGCGUGAAUGAUGAAGGCUUUCGAGUCGUAAAGUUCUGUUCUAAGGGAAGAUAGUGACGGUACCUUAGAAGAAAGUCCCGGCUAAAUACGUGCCAGCAGCCGCGGUAAU